CUACGGGGGGCUCCAGUGGGGAAUAUUGCACAAUGGGCGCAAGCCUGAUGCAGCCAUGCCGCGUGUAUGAAGAAGGCCUUCGGGUUGUAAAGUACUUUCAGCGGGGAGGAAGGGAGUAAAGUUAAUACCUUUGCUCAUUGACGUUACCCGCAGAAGAAGCACCGGCUAACUCCGUGCCAGCAGCCGCGGUAAUACGGAGGGUGCAAGCGUUAAUCGGAAUUACUAGGCGUAAAGCGCACGCAGGCGGUUUGUUAAGUCAGAUGUGAAAUCCCCGGGCUCAACCUGGGAACUGCAUCUGAUACUGGCAAGCUUGAGGCUCGUAGAGGGGGGUAGAAUUCCAGGUGUAGCGGUGAAAUGCGUAGAGAUCUGGAGGAAUACCGGUGGCGAAGGCGGCCCCCUGGACGAAGACUGACGCUCAGGUGCGAAAGCGUGGGGAGCAAACAGGAUUAGAUACCCGCGUAGUC
rnacentral:rRNA from 1 species